rnacentral:rRNA from 1 species
AACGUAGGACGCGAGCGUUAUCCGGAGUUACUGGGCGUAAAGCGCGGGCAGGCGGUCUGACAAGUCUGAUGUGAAAUCUCCGGGCUUAACCGGGAGAGGCCAUUGGAAACUGACAGGCUGGAGGGCAGUAGAGGUAGGCGGAAGUUCCGGGUGGAGUGGUGAAAUGCGUAGAGAUCCGGAGGAACACCAGAGGCGAAGGCGGCCUACUGGGCUGCACCUGACGGCUGAGCCGCGAAAGCCAGGGGAGCGAACGGGAUAGAA